rnacentral:rRNA from 1 species
AUUGAACGCUGGCGGCAUGGCUAAAACAUGCAAGUCGAACGCGAAAGGGAGCAAUCCCAAGUAGAGUGGCGAAAGGGCGAGGAAUAAAUUCCUACGUACCCCAAGGUCGGGGAUACCUCGGAGAAAUCCGAAUCAAUACCCGAUGUGGUCCGAAAGGAUCAAAGGCUUGCUGCCUUGGGAGCGGGGAAUUUCCUAUCAGGUAGUUGGUGGGGUAAUGGCCUACCAAGCCUAAGACGGGUAGCGGGUGUGAGAGCACGGCCCGCCGCAUCGAGACUGAGACACUGCUCGGACUCCUACGGGAGGCUGCAGUAACGAAUCUUCCGCAAUGCGCGAAAGCGUGACGGGGCAAUGCCGCGUGCAGGAUGAAGCCCUUCGGGGUGUAAACUGCUGUCAGGGGGCAGGAAUACAAUGACCAUACCCAAAGGAAGCACCGGCUAACUCUGUG